CAGAUGUUCGCACACUGGAUACCCAGUUGU
rnacentral:piRNA from 1 species